CUGGACCCAUAAUCCCAGAUUGCCUUAUAGUAUGAUUGUUGAUCUAACAGCUGAGUUGGGAAAGUGGGUGGGUGGUGGCGAGAUGUGAGAUCAGCACUCGUACUGUGAGAGGCUUCAUCAGUUUGUACCCCGGUGCUCCAUAAAUGUGACACACGAAAUUGUUCUUGAACCCACCAUCUCAGUGCCACUGACGAGCUGUUUACUUGGUGUCGAGUGAAGAUUUCUGUUCCAAAAUAAGGAGUGAAAUUCACUGUUGUCAAAUUUAAAAUGAAUCAUAGUACUUUUAAAAUUGUGAGUUAAAUAAUAGCUAUUGCCUGUUAACAUGAGAAUUGUACAGAUUGUAUCCCCUAUGUGGAG